GACGAACGCUGGCGGCGUGCUUAACACACGCAAGUCGAACGGUAAGGCCCUUCGGGGUACACGAGUGGCGAACGGGUGAGUAACACGUGGGUGAUCUGCCCUGCACUUCGGGAUAAGCCUGGGAAACUGGGUCUAAUUCCGGAUAGGACUCCUGGCUUCAUGGUUGGGGGUGGAAAGCUUUUGCGGUGUGGGAUGGGCCCGCGGCCUAUCAGCUUGUUGGUGGGGUAAUGGCCUACCAAGGCGACGACGGGUAGCCGGCCUGGGAGGGUGACCGGUCACACUGGGACUGAGAUACGGCCCAGACUCCUACGGGAGGCAGCAGUGGGGAAUAUUGCACAAUGGGCGCAAGCCUGAUGCAGCGACGCCGCGUGAGGGAUGACGGCCUUCGGGUUGUAAACCUCUUUCAGCUAUGACGAAGCGCAAGUGACGGUAGUAGCAGAAGAAGGACCGGCCAACUACGUGCCAGCCGCCGCGGUAA
rnacentral:rRNA from 1 species